rnacentral:rRNA from 1 species
GACGAACGCUGGCGGCGUGCCUAAUACAUGCAAGUUGAGCGCUGAAGGUUGGUACUUGUACCAACUGGAUGAGCAGCGAACGGGUGAGUAACGCGUGGGGAAUCUGCCUUUGAGCGGGGGACAACAUUUGGAAACGAAUGCUAAUACCGCAUAAAAACUUUAAACACAAGUUUUAAGUUUGAAAGAUGCAAUUGCAUCACUCAAAGAUGAUCCCGCGUUGUAUUAGCUAGUUGGUGAGGUAAAGGCUCACCAAGGCGAUGAUACAUAGCCGACCUGAGAGGGUGAUCGGCCACAUUGGGACUGAGACACGGCCCAAACUCCUACGGGAGGCAGCAGUAGGGAAUCUUCGGCAAUGGGCGAAAGUCUGACCGAGCAACGCCGCGUGAGUGAAGAAGGUUUUCGGAUCGUAAAACUCUGUUGGUAGGGAAGAACGUUGGUGGAAGUGAAAAUCCCCUCAAGGGAGGGAAACAACCCGAAAAGGAACGGCAAACAACUG